UACGAAGGGGGCUAGCGUUGCUCGGAUUGACUGGGCGUAAAGGGCGCGUAGGCGGUUCGUACAGUCAGACGUGAAAUUCCUGGGCUCAUCCUGGGGGCUGCGUUUGAUACGUGCGGACUUGAGUGCGGAAGAGGGUCGUGGAAUUCCCAGUGUAGAGGUGAAAUUCGUAGAUAUUGGGAAGAACACCGGUGGCGAAGGCGGCGACCUGGUCCGAUACUGACGCUGAGGCGCGAAAGCGUGGGGAGCAAACAGG
rnacentral:rRNA from 1 species